UUUUCAUAAAUCACAAUAUUCUAAGUUCUGGCUGUAUUCUGGAGCGUUUCCUCAUGGGCGUCGCAGUUCACACACGUCACGGAUUCCGCCGAAGGAGUCGAUAAUUAAAACUGAACUUUUGGAUCGGAGAUAUGAAGACGCGCGCUGCAUUUUGCUUGGCGGAGACGCACAGCUCUGACACUAGACAAUAUUAUACACUCAAAGGGACCGCGUUUCGCCGGAAGAAUAAAUAAUUACAUCAUAAAGAUACUAGUAUUGUAUACUAGAUAAGUUUCAAUUAGCGAGAUGUAGAGAGAGAUGGAGAUGGAGCGAGAUGUAGACGGAUGAAGAUAGCUGUUUCUUUGUCGACAGCGUGUGCUACAUUACAGCUAGGUUUCACUGGAAGAGUCGAUGUUUAUGCAAAUGGUAUUCGUCAGUGAACAUUUUCAAACUGGGAAUAAUAUAUCAUAAGCAGAUUGAAAUGUGUGAACGUUUCAGUGUUUCGAAGACUAAGUUUCGUAGCAGAUUUUGAUUCCGUCACGGGGCGUUGUAAUGAGAUGAUCCGCAAAUUCGGUAACACCGUAUCUCCGGCAAGUGCGUAUAGCUGACCAAAAUCGACGACAGAAAAUACGUAUGUGAUCGGCGAUCACGAUCUUCAAAACCACUGCCUUAGGUUACCUUUGGUAAAGAAUUCGAUGAGGAGAACUAAACCCAAAGUCAAGUCGUGAAAUCUACAAUUGCCCAGGAAGGCUAGGUCGAUAAGCUGAUGCAAAUACGAUUUAAAAACUUCA